UGGCUCAGGAUGAACGCUGGCGGCGUGCUUAACACAUGCAAGUCGAACGAUGAAGCCCAGCUUGCUGGGUGGAUUAGUGGCGAACGGGUGAGUAACACGUGAGUAACCUGCCCUUGACUCUGGGAUAAGCCUGGGAAACUGGGUCUAAUACCGGAUAGGAACGUCCACCGCAUGGUGGUUGUUGGAAAGAUUUAUCGGUCAUGGAUGGACUCGCGGCCUAUCAGCUGUUGGUGAGGUAAUGGCUCACCAAGGCGACGACGGGUAGCCGGCCUGAGAGGGUGACCGGCCACACUGGGACUGAGACACGGCCCAGACUCCUACGGGAGGCAGCAGUGGGGAAUAUUGCACAAUGGGCGAAAGCCUGAUGCAGCGACGCCGCGUGAGGGAUGACGGCCUUCGGGUUGUAAACCUCUUUCAGUAGGGAAGAAGCGAAAGUGACGGUACCUGCAGAAGAAGCACCGGCUAACUACGUGCCAGCAGCCGCGGUAAUACGUAGGGUGCGAGCGUUAUCCGGAAUUAUUGGGCGUAAAGGGCUCGUAGGCGGUUUGUCGCGUCUGUCGUGAAAGUCCGGGGCUUAACCCCGGAUCUGCGGUGGGUACGGGCAGACUAGAGUGCAGUAGGGGAGACUGGAAUUCCUGGUGUAGCGGUGGAAUGCG
rnacentral:rRNA from 1 species